rnacentral:rRNA from 1 species
CCUACGGCGGCAGCAGUGGGGAAUAUUGGACAAUGGGCGAAAGCCUGAUCCAGCCAUGCCGCGUGUGUGAAGAAGGCCUUCGGGUUGUAAAGCACUUUCAGUGGGGAAGAAAGCCUUGGGGCUAAUACCCUCGAGGAAGGACAUCACCCACAGAAGAAGCACCGGCUAACUCCGUGCCAGCAGCCGCGGUAAUACGGAGGGUGCGAGCGUUAAUCGGAAUUACUGGGCGCAAAGCGCGCGUAGGCGGUCUGAUAAGCCGGUUGGGAAAGCCCCGGGCUCAACCUGGGAACGGCAUCCGGAACUGUCAGGCUAGAGUGCAGGAGAGGAAGGUAGAAUUCCCGGUGUAGCGGUGAAAUGCGUAGAGAUCGGGAGGAAUACCAGUGGCGAAGGCGGCCUUCUGGACUGACACUGACGCUGAGGUGCGAAAGCGUGGGUAGCAAACAGGAUUAGAUACCCGAGUAGUC